UACGGGGGGUGCGAGCGUUGUCCGGAUUCACUGGGCGUAAAGGGCUCGUAGGCGGUCUGUUGCGUCGGGAGUGAAAACUCAGGGCUUAACCCUGAGCCUGCUUCCGAUACGGGCAGACUAGAGGUAUGCAGGGGGGAACGGAAUUCCUGGUGUAGCGGUGAAAUGCGCAGAUAUCAGGAGGAACACCGGUGGCGAAGGCGGUUCUCUGGGCAUUACCUGACGCUGAGGAGCGAAAGUGUGGGGAGCGAACAGG
rnacentral:rRNA from 1 species